CACAAGCGGAGGAACAUGUGGUUUAAUUCGAUGAUACGCGAGGAACCUUACCUGGGCUUAAAUGUAGAGUGCAUUGGAGGGAAACUUUCAUUUUCUUCGGAACUCUUUACAAGGUGCUGCAUGGUUGUCGUCAGCUCGUGCCGUGAGGUGUCGGGUUAAGUCCCAUAACGAGCGCAACCCUUAUCGUUAGUUGCCAGCGGGUAAAGCCGGGGACUCUAGCGAAACUGCCGGUGUAAACCGAGAGGAAGGUGGGGAUGACGUCAAAUCAGCACGGCCCUUAUGUCCAGGGCUACACACGUGUUACAAUGGCCGGUACAGAGGGCAGCUACCUGUUGACAGGAUGCGAAUCUCGAAAGCCGGUCUCAGUUCGGAUCGGAGUCUGCAACCCGACUCCGUGAAGCUGGAUUCGCUAGUAAUCGCGCAUCAGCCAUGGCGCGGUCGAAUACGUUCCCGGGCCUU
rnacentral:rRNA from 1 species